rnacentral:rRNA from 1 species
UGGGGAAUCUUGGACAAUGGGGGAAACCCUGAUCCAGCCAUGCCGCGUGAGCGAUGAAGGCCUUAGGGUUGUAAAGCUCUUUCACCGGUGAAGAUAAUGACGGUAGCCGGAGAAGAAGCCCCGGCUAACUCCGUGCCAGCAGCCGCGGUAAUACGGAGGGGGCUAGCGUUGUUCGGAAUUACUGGGCGUAAAGCGCGCGUAGGCGGGCUGUUAAGUCGGGGGUGAAAUCCCGGGGCUCAACCCCGGAACUGCCCUCGAUACUGGCAGCCUAGAGGACGGAAGAGGUCAGUGGAAUGGCGAGUGUAGAGGUGAAAUUCGUAGAUAUUCGCCGGAACACCAGUGGCGAAGGCGACUGACUGGUCCGUUUCUGACGCUGAGGUGCGAAAGCGUGGGGAGCAAACAGGAUUAGAUACCCCCGUAGUCC